UGGGGAAUAUUGCGCAAUGGGCGAAAGCCUGACGCAGCAACGCCGUGUGAGUGAUGAAGGCCCUCGGGUCGUAAAGCUCUGUCAGCAGGAGAGAUGUGCUCAUCGGUUAAUAACCGGCGAGCUUGACGGUACCUGCAAAGGAAGCACCGGCUAACUCUGUGCCAGCAGCCGCGGUAAGACAGAGGGUGCUAGCGUUGUUCGGAAUUAUUGGGCGUAAAGCGCACGUAGGCGGUUCUGCAAGUCGGAUGUGAAAGCCCAGGGCUCAACCCUGGAAGUGCAUUCGAAACUGCCGAACUAGAGUCCCGGAGAGGGUGGUGGAAUUCAUGGUGUAGAGGUGAAAUUCGUAGAUA
rnacentral:rRNA from 1 species